rnacentral:rRNA from 1 species
UUACGGCUGUAUCACGUUGAAACACCGGCUCCCGUACGAUCAGCGAAGUUAAGCAACGUCGAGCUCGGUCAGUACCUAGACAGGUGACCGCUUGGAAAUAUGUGU